rnacentral:lncRNA from 1 species
CCUAGGCACUGGGAAGGAUGACCAGGCUGGGCACCAACCCAGCUGUGGUCUUCUAAGUACGGGUGGUACCAAGGAGCUGUGGCAAAGGGAAAUAAAAAGGUGAACACCAGCUCAGAGAAGCAGAUAGGCGGCUUCUGGAGAAGAAAACUUCCACAUGAGUGUAACAGGUGGCCAUCUCUGAGAUCGGUCCUUUCUGAAGAGAAGGAGCUAGAGCCUGGGUCAGGAGUUCUUAGCCAUGUGUGAUUGGCUAAGGCCACUGGUCAGAAUUUUCCGAUCCUUCCAAACGCUACGGGAUCAUUUGAGGACGUGAACCUACAUGUCAGCGUUUCUAGAAGAAAGCUGUGAACAGAAGUGACCACAGGAAGUCUGGGAAUGUCACCUCCCUUUCCUUUCCCCACCCUUCAGCUCAGUAAAGGGAACUUCCAUGGUGUGUUGUAGGCACUGUCGCACCUCACACCUGUCAUCGGCUAAGCCCUGCUCCUCAGGUCUUCUGGGCCUAGGCCUGGCAACCUCCCACCACCUAGGGCCUCGAGUGCUGACCUCGGCACUGAAGGUUUGGCCCUUGCUGGAAAAGAUGAGCCAGAGCUGGGAGAGCUGUGUAAAAGGAAGCCAUGCUUCGGCUGUUAUGUGUCUGCCGACACAACUGACAUCCUCAGGGAGAAGAGAACAUAAGCAACCCUACAAAAUCCAAAAGAGCCUAAAAUACUGUGCCCACUUACGUUAUCAAGAGAAUGACAGCCAAAAAUUGGAACCAAUCCAAAGAUCCAGCAGCAGGUCAAAGUACAAGCAAAUGGCACAAAACGUUGAGAGAAGAAUUUCUUGGGUCUGGAGUACAGAGUAACUCAGAACACUGCCCACGAUUUACUGUCAAUGAAACUACUAGAACUUAGUAUUAUGUAUCACACGUCUAUCAUAAAAACUUUAAAAUAAUAGCAACAACCAUUGAAAUGCUCCUGUUUGCCAGGUACUAUCCAGGCAUUUGGCACCUAGAUCACCAAGGUGGGUCACCCAGCCCAUGGGCAUGAUUCCAAUGAAG